rnacentral:lncRNA from 1 species
CACAGACUACAUAAUAUUAAAAAUAUCUUUGGCAACUUAUUUGGAAAUUGAGAUUGAGGAUUAGGAUAGAAAAAAAUUUAUGAUAAAACUAAAUAGAUUUUUUUGCUUUUUAAUCAAUACGACGAUGAGAGAAUGAAAGAUUUUCUUUUCUUUCGUGGAGAUGAUGCCUCAAGUACCCACGCGUAUUUUCUUUCUUCCGUGAAGAAAACAUCUCAACUACCUACCCCACAC